rnacentral:rRNA from 1 species
GUCGUAACAAGGUUUCCGUAGGUGAACCUGCGGAAGGAUCAUUACCG